ACUAUUUUGGCAGAUAAGUGCGGUGGAUUUAGAAUCUAUUUAUGUGUUGUUUGGCGCAUGUAGUA
rnacentral:tRNA from 1 species